rnacentral:rRNA from 1 species
CCUACGGGUGGCAGCAGUGAGGAAUAUUGGUCAAUGGGCUUAAGCCUGAACCAGCCAAGUCGCGUGAGGGAAGACUGCCCUAUGGGUUGUAAACCUCUUUUGUAAGGGAGCAAUUUUCGCUACGUGUAGCGUUCUCUAUAGUCCCUGAAGAAAAAGCUUCGGCAACCCCCGUGCAGGCAGCCGGGGUAAUACGGGGGAUGCGGCGUUUACCGGAGUUGUUGGGGUUUAAGGGGUACGUGGGCGGAAUGCCAAUUCCGCGGGAAAGUCGGGGGGCCAAACCUACCUCCGCCGUUGAUACUGGCGGUCUUGAGUGUGCGAGAAGUAGGCGGAAUGCGUGGUGUAGCGGUGAAAUGCAUAGAUAGCACGCAGAACUCCGAUUGCGAAGGCAGCAUACCGGAGCGCAACUGACGCUGAAGCACGAAAGCGUGGGUAUCGAACAGGAUUAGAUACCCGAGUAGUC